UACAGAGGGGGCAGGCGUUAUUCGGAAUUAUUGGGCGUAAAGGGCGCGUAGGCGGCUUUUCAAGUGACGGGUGAAAUCCCUCGGCUUAACCGAGGAACUGCCUGUCAGACUGGAAGGCUUGAGACCGGGAGAGGUGAGUGGAAUUCCCAGUGUAGCGGUGAAAUGCGUAGAUAUUGGGAGGAACACCAGUGGCGAAGGCGGCUCACUGGACCGGAACUGACGCUGAGGCGCGAAAGCGUGGGGAGCAAACAGG
rnacentral:rRNA from 1 species